rnacentral:rRNA from 1 species
UCUGGUGAUGAUGGCGAAGAGGUCACACCCGUUCCCAUGCCGAACACGGAAGUUAAGCUCUUCAGCGCCGAUGGUAGUCGGGGGUUUCCCCCUGUGAGAGUA